rnacentral:lncRNA from 12 species
CAUACUGCUCCUGAGAAAUUUUGCUGGAGCAACCGUGAAAGUAUGGACGCUACCUAAAAGGAAACUUUUGUUUAGCAUGUUCACCUGGAGUCUCUUACAUAGUCCUUGGUCAAGACAGCAGUCAUGGAAUGACAAAGUAGGAGAGUGGUGACUUGGAGGUGCUUUUCCAUAAAAGACAGGGAAAGAAAAAAAUCGUGCAUAGCUAGAGCACAACAGUUUCCCCAUCUGUGAGAAAUUGCUCUGAAAACAUGCAUAAAAUCCUAGCAAUAUGAGAAGAUGAGAGGAUGAAGGAAUGGCAAGACCUCUUCUGGUGUUAUUUCCAGACAAGAAAAAAGAAACCCAGUGCUGCAAGAAAUAUCACCAAAGCCCAAAUAUAUAUGCAUAGACGAUAGAGAUAUGGGCGAUGAUCGUUUUCACUGGGGACUCCCACAGAUGAACUGGAAGCAAACACUGGUGGAAGGUAUUGGAUUGCCCAGCACCUGGAGGCAUCAGCCUGUAAUCACCUCAUACACCUGGGUUUGGUUCCUGUCAAUUUGCAACGAGAAAAAAAAAUCACAAUAUUCUUGUCAUAUUGCCAGAGGAAGUGGGUGACCUUAAGCAAUGCAGAAAGUUUGAGCAUCUUAUCUCGAUUGCAAAAUGAGGCUGGGGACGUGGAACAUGGUGACUUGAGAACAUAUAUUUGAAAGCACACUAUCAUCAUAACAUCAUUGUAAUUACAUUCUUCUAUAUUCAUUGAUUUUUAUUGCUGCUCGUCAAAACUUGUGUCCCCACCCAAAUGUGUAUAUUGAAAUCCUAGGGCAUCCCGGGUGGCUCAGCGGUUUAGCGCCUGUCUUCAGCCUGGGGCAUGAUCCUGGAGACCCAGGAUUGAGUCCCACAUCGGGUUCCCUGCAUGGAGCCUGCUUCUCCCUCUGCCUCUGUCUCUGCUUUUCUCUCUCUCUCUCUCUCAUGAAUAAAUAAAUAAAAUCUUAAAAAAAAAAAAAAAAG